rnacentral:rRNA from 1 species
AUUGCGCAAUGGAGGCAACUCUGACGCAGCCAUGCCGCGUGCAGGAAGAAGGCGCUACGCGUUGUAAACUGCUUUUAACCGGGAAGAAACCCCAGGACGUGUCCUGGGUUGACGGUACCGGAGGAAUAAGCACCGGCUAACUUCGUGCCAGCAGCCGCGGUAAUACGAAGGGUGCAAGCGUUAUCCGGAUUCAUUGGGUUUAAAGGGUGCGUAGGUGGGGCGUUAAGUCAGUGGUGAAAGCCCGCAGCUCAACUGUGGAAUUGCCAUUGAUACUGGCGCUCCUGAGUGCGCUUGAAGUAGGCGGAAUGUGCCGUGUAGCGGUGAAAUGCUUAGAUAUGGCACAGAACACCAAUUGCGAAGGCAGCUUACUAAGGCGAUACUGACGCUGAGGCACGAAAGCGUGGGGAUCAAACAGGAUUAGAUACCCUGGUAGUCCACGCCGUAAACGAUGAUCACUCGUGAUUGGCGAUAUACGGUCAGUCACCUAGCGAAAGCGUUAAGUGAUCCACCUGGGGAGUACGAUCGCAAGAUUGAAACUCAAAGGAAUUGACGG